rnacentral:rRNA from 3 species
GAGUUUGAUCCUGGCUCAGAUUGAACGCUGGCGGCAUGCCUUACACAUGCAAGUCGAACGGCAGCACGGGAGCUUGCUCCUGGUGGCGAGUGGCGAACGGGUGAGUAAUGCAUCGGAACGUAUCCUGGAGUGGGGGGAUAACGUAGCGAAAGUUACGCUAAUACCGCAUAUUCUGUGAGCAGGAAAGCGGGGGACCUUCGGGCCUCGCGCUCUUGGAGCGGCCGAUGUCGGAUUAGCUAGUUGGUGAGGUAAAGGCUCACCAAGGCGACGAUCCGUAGCAGGUCUGAGAGGAUGAUCUGCCACACUGGAACUGAGACACGGUCCAGACUCCUACGGGAGGCAGCAGUGGGGAAUUUUGGACAAUGGGGGCAACCCUGAUCCAGCCAUGCCGCGUGAGUGAAGAAGGCC